rnacentral:rRNA from 1 species
GAUGAACGCUAGCGACAGGCUUAACACAUGCAAGUCGAGGGGCAGCAUAGAAGUAGCAAUACUUUGGUGGCGACCGGCGCACGGGUGAGUAAAGCGUAUGCAACCUACCUAUCAGAGGGGAAUAACCCGGCGAAAGUCGGACUAAUACCGCAUAAAACAGGGGCACCGCAUGGUGAUAUUUGUUAAAGAAAUUAGCUGAUAGAUGGGCAUGCGUUCCAUUAGGUAGUUGGUGAGGUAACGGCUCACCAAGCCGACGAUGGAUAGGGGAACUGAGAGGUUGGUCCCCCACACUGGUACUGAGACACGGACCAGACUCCUACGGGAGGCAGCAGUGAGGAAUAUUGGUCAAUGGGCGGGAGCCUGAACCAGCCAAGUCGCGUGAAGGAAGAAGGAUCUAUGGUUCGUAAACUUCUUUUGCAGGGGAAUAAAGUGCAGGACGUGUCCUGUUUUGUAUGUACCCUGAGAAUAAGGAUCGGCUAACUCCGUGCCAGCAGCCGCCGUAAGAC